rnacentral:tRNA from 1 species
GGUCUCGUCGUAUAGUGGUUAUCACAUCUAUCUAACGCACAGAAGGUCGGCGGUUCGAUCCCGCCCGAGUCCA